CGCAGAUACCAGCUGGCUGCAACUGUUUAUUAAAAACACAGCACUGUGCAAACACGAAAGUGGACGUAUACGGUGUGACGCCUGCCCGGUGCUGGAAGGUUAAUUGAUGGGGUUAUCCGUAAGGAGAAGCUCUUGAUCGAAGCCCCAGUAAACGGCGGCCGUAACUAUAACGGUCCUAAGGUAGCGAAAUUCCUUGUCGGGUAAGUUCCGACCUGCACGAAUGGCGUAAUGAUGGCCAGGCUGUCUCCACCCGAGACUCAGUGAAAUUGAACUCGCUGUGAAGAUGCAGUGUACCCGCGGCAAGACGGAAAGACCCCGUGAACCUUUACUAUAGCUUGACACUGAACAUUGAGCCUUGAUGUGUAGGAUAGGUGGGAGGCUUUGAAGUGUGGACGCCAGUCUGCAUGGAGCCAACCUUGAAAUACCACCCUUUAAUGUUUGAUGUUCUAACGUGGCCCCAUCAUCUGGGGUGCGGACAGUGUCUGGUGGGUAGUUUGACUGGGGCGGUCUCCUCCCAAAGAGUAACGGAGGAGCACGAAGGUUGGCUAAGCAUGGUCGGACAUCAUGCGGUUAGUGCAAAGGCAUAAGCCAGCUUGACUGCGAGAGUGACGGCUCGAGCAGGUACGAAAGUAGGUCUUAGUGAUCCGGUGGUUCUGAAUGGAAGGGCCAUCGCUCAACGGAUAAAAGGUACUCCGGGGAUAACAGGCUGAUACCGCCCAAGAGUUCAUAUCGACGGCGGUGUUUGGCACCUCGAUGUCGGCUCAUCACAUCCUGGGGCUGAAGUAGGUCCCAAGGGUAUGGCUGUUCGCCAUUUAAAGUGGUACGCGAGCUGGGUUUAGAACGUCGUGAGACAGUUCGGUCCCUAUCUGCCGUGGGCGUUGGAAGAUUGAAAGGGGCUGCUCCUAGUACGAGAGGACCGGAGUGGACGCACCACUGGUGUUCGGGUUGUCAUGCCAAUGGCACUGCCCGGUAGCUAAGUGCGGAAGAGAUAACCGCUGAAAGCAUCUAAGCGGGAAACUUGCCUUGAGAUGAGUCUUCCCUGACUCUUUAAGGGUCCUAAAGGAACGUUUAAGACUAAGACGUUGAU
rnacentral:rRNA from 1 species